GAAAUGCGACACUUGGUGUGAAUUGCAGAAUCCCGUGAACCAUCGAGUCUUUGAAUGCAAGUUGCGCUCGAGGCCGUUAGGUCGAGAGCACGUCUGUUUGGGUGUCAUGCCUUGCGUCAUUCUUUCCAUCCAUCUAUGGUAAACAUAGCGCGGAUGUCGAUGGACGUGGAGAUUGACCCUCCGUUCUUUACUGGUGCGGUUGGUUUAAGGGAUUGUUGUCGCUAGGUCCACACGCGGCGAAUGGAGUAUCGAGGCAACGAAGAUGUUUCCAACCGCGAUUGGGCUUCCUCAGUGCGACGCAACAUUAACCGAAACCACUCUCGAUGUUUGCACAGAUCGCAGACUCGGACCAUGACCUCAGAUCAGACGGGGCCACCCGCUGAGUUUAA
rnacentral:misc_RNA from 1 species